CUAGUGUCCAGUCAAUGGAAAAUGCUUUUCUUGCUUUGCCUAGACUUUGUGACAAUUAACUUAUAGUGCGAUCAUUGAUCAUUGAGCUUCUGACACCCUAUUCCAUAAGAUUAUGUUGUAAUGUUUGCUGGAUCAUUGAGUAGUUAAUAUUGAUUCUGAGUUUGUUGGAUCAUUAACUUAUGUGUGUGCUUUGGUUAUCUGAGAGACACUCACUAUCCUGUGUUUCAUAUUCGUGGCGGAGCGAUGAACGAUUAUGUUUCGUGUCCCUGUGUUUCGUGUUCGCCCGUCUGGUUUUGGAUUUGGAUUGCAGAGACGGGGAGAGGCCAAAGCAAGGUCAGUUUAUCAUGUUCGCUCAGAUCGGUUCCUCGGUUCCGUCGCUGCGUUGUUCGUCGGCGAUUUCCAGACCUCAAACGCAUGCGCCCUUGUGAUACUCUGGUUUGGCUCGCUGGUCGUUAUGGUUGUUUGUUACGGUUGUUCUUAUGUUCUUGAAUCACCCAUCUUAUAAGCAGAGAUGGGGUGAUACAUUAUGGUUGUUCUGAUGGUUGCUUAUUUAGUGUUCUUUCCAAUUGGGUGGUUCUUGUCAUGCUUUGCUUAUGUUCCCAAUGUCUGUCUUUCCAUAUAUGGGGAUGCAUUAGGGUGCAAACCGUGUAGGCCAUGGUGUGUUUUUACUAGCUAUGGUGUGUUUUAUACUAUCUAAUGUGGAAGGUGGAAAUAUUGAUAUCACUUCUGUGUUAGUAUACUUGAUAUGGUGUGUUUUAUUCAAGUAAUUAACCACAUCUCUUACAAAUUUUCCUUGAGAUACAUGUUUAUAUGGCAGGAGUGAUUGUCUUGACGAAUAAUCAUUUAUGCUAACAGACCAGUACUUGAUCAUAGGUAACAGACCAGUACUUGUUAGUGCAGACAACUGACUAUUCUUUUUUUCUGAACUUUUUUUUGAUAUGUCUGUUAUGUGGAUAUCAUAUUCUAAUGCUUUUCUAAGUAUUUAAGGUACAGACAUGUGGAUCUGGACAUUUCACAUUUGCUCUUUAUUGUAUUGCUAAGGACACUGAACGGUUUGUCUGGGCCACCGCACAGCCUGGCUAAUCAGGUUGUAGUGAUUAGGGAGAAGCUUGCAGAACUGUAUGAAUUUGAACAACAAUGGCCGAGGGCAGUACAAAUGCUUAGUGGUAUUGACUUGGACUCAGGAAUAAGGAUGCUUGAUGACAAACAAAUUAUCCAAGUGCGUCCAGAUUGCAUGACUCUAUUUGGAGGAUGAUGAUGCAGUGAAUGUUGAAGCUUUUAUCAACAAAGCCUCAUUUUUUGUCACAA